rnacentral:rRNA from 1 species
GAUGAACGCUGGCGGCGUGCUUAACACAUGCAAGUCGAACGGUGAAGCAGGAGCUUGCUCUUGUGGAUCAGUGGCGAACGGGUGAGUAACACGUGAGCAACCUGCCCCAGACUCUGGGAUACGCGCUGGAAACGGCGUCUACUACUGGAGAUGAGAUGUGACCGCAUGGUAUGCAUCUGGAAAGAAUUUCGGUUGGGGAUGGGCUCGCGGCCUAUCAGCUUGCGUGUGGGGUAAUGGCUCAACAAGGCGUCGACGGGUAGCCGGGCUGAGAGGUGGGCCGGCCACACUGGGACUGAGACACGGCCCAGACUCCUACGGGAGGCAGCAGUGGGGAAUAUUGCACAAGGGGCGGAAGCCUGAUGCAGCAACGCCGCGUGGGGGAUGACGUCCUUCGGGUUGUAAACUUCUUUUAGCAGGGAAGAAGCGAAAGUGACGGUACCUGCAGAAAAAGCACCGGCUAACUACGUGCCAGCCGCCGCCGUAA